rnacentral:tRNA from 3 species
GGGCGAUUAGUUAAGUGGUAUAACAGCGGUCUCCAAAACCGCGGUCGGGAGUCCGAUUCUCUCAUCGCCCG